GUAGUUAUCCACAUAUUCUAAGUCAGAACCGUCCAGAGUAGUGAUGCUAGUCGGGCGGGAGGGUGCGGGCAGCAAUCAGUUGAAGAGCAUGCACUUACUUUUACCUGCAUUUAAAAUCAGUUGGAGGCCACGAAGGAGUGUUGUAUGGCGUUGAAGCUCGUUUGAAGGUCUGUUAGCACAGUGUCCAAAGAUGGCCCAGAAGUAUACAGAAUGGUGUCGUCUGCGUACAGGUGGAUCAGAUAAUUACCAGCAGCAAAAGCGACAUCAUUGAUAUAUACAGAGAAAAGAGUAGGCCCGAGAAUUGAACAUUUAUAAAGUGAUGUGGAAGUAUUGAUGAUCAGUUUACAGGUUCAAAUUCCAAAUAGUCUUAGUGUACUUCCAGGUAACACAUCAGAUGAGGUUUUGCAUAUGUUAAUCCAUGUUUAUAGCACCUGUAUAUUGAAUAUUGACAUUUAAUAUCCAUUGAUGCAUUAGUUAUUAGGUCCCUUUGUGGGUGAAUACAUUUCUGCAUAUUGGUUUGAUGUGCUCUCUUUUUAACUUGUGUCCCCGGUUACAUAGUCCGUAGGAAAGAGCAGCGCAGCCCUCCACAUAGCACGGACAGUGUGUCGCCGAGCAGAAUACAGGUCAAUUUGAGUGUUUCCCUUAUAGUGCAGUCAGGUGAGGCUGAUCCUGAUGUUGCCACAUUUUUGAACAGAUUGAGCAACUACCUGUUUCCAGUGGCCAGGUACACAGCCAUGAAAUAAGGUAAUGAGGAGAAAAUCUACAAAAGACCUGAAUGACACAUCUACACAUGAAUGAACAGACUGGGGAACUUUGAAACAACAUUUAUUCUGUUUAAGGAUUGAAUUCAUCAUUGGCAUAUGUAAAAGACAGAUUGAUGCUAGACGCUUGAAUAUCUCGUAAUGGAACUGCCCCUACUUUUCAAAUAAAGACUU